rnacentral:rRNA from 1 species
GAUGAACGCUGGCGGCGUGCCUAAUACAUGCGAGUCGAGCGAACAGAUGAGGAGCUUGCUCCUCUGACGUUAGCGGCGGACGGGUGAGUAACACGUGGAUAACCUACCUAUAAGACUGGGAUAACUUCGGGAAACCGGAGCUAAUACCGGAUAAUAUAUUGAACCGCAUGGUUCAAUAGUGAAAGACGGUUUUGCUGUCACUUAUAGAUGGAUCCGCGCCGCAUUAGCUAGUUGGUAAGGUAACGGCUUACCAAGGCAACGAUGCGUAGCCGACCUGAGAGGGUGAUCGGCCACACUGGAACUGAGACACGGUCCAGACUCCUACGGGAGGCAGCAGUAGGGAAUCUUCCGCAAUGGGCGGAAGCUUGACGGAGCAACGCCGCGUGAGUGAUGAAGGUCUUCGGAUCGUAAAACUCUGUUAUUAGGGAAGAACAAAUGUGUAAGUAACUAUGCACGUCUUGACGGUACCUAAUCAGAAAGCCACGGCUAACUACGUG